UAUAGCAGGAAAAUCGAUGUGUGUUUUGAACUCCAUGAGAUUUUGGUUAAUGAGGAAAUUUACUGGCUCCAGCAAUCCCACGAACGCUGGCUUCUCAAAGGUGACCUGAACACUGAUUAUUUCCAUAAAAUUGCCAAUGGGCGUAAGCGUAAAAAUACUAUCCACUCUCUUAAAGCUGGCGAGGUGGAAAUAGAGGGUAUAGAUAACCUGAUUGCCCAUGCUACUGAUUUCUAUAAGGACCUCUUCGGCCCAGCUCAGGGCAAUCAGUUUCACUUGGAUCCUUAUACUUGGUCCGAGAGUGAAAAGCUGAGUGAGUAUGACAAUAGAGAUCUUUGCUGCGAAUUCACAAAAACUGAAGUUAAAGAUGCCCUCUUCUCUAUGGCCACCAAUAGGGCACCUGGACCAGAUAACAUUCCUCUCGAAUUUUAUCAAAUAUGUUGGGAUAUAGUAAAGGAUGAUAUCAUGUCCCUUUUUAGACACUUUCAUAAUGGGACGCUUGAUGUUCAACGUCUUAAUUAUGGAGUGAUCACUUUACUACCCAAAGUGUCGGGAGCUGACAAGAUUCAGUAG
rnacentral:rRNA from 1 species